GCCCUGGUGGUGCAGUGGUUAAAUGCUGGGACUGCAAUCACUCACUCACAAACCACAAGGUUAUGGGUUCAAUCCCAGCCAGGGCU